UGGGGAAUAUUGGACAAUGGGCGCAAGCCUGAUCCAGCCAUGCCGCGUGUGUGAAGAAGGCCUUUUGGUUGUAAAGCACUUUAAGCGAGGAGGAGGCUACUUGGAUUAAUACUCUAGGAUAGUGGACGUUACUCGCAGAAUAAGCACCGGCUAACUCUGUGCCAGCAGCCGCGGUAAUACAGAGGGUGCGAGCGUUAAUCGGAUUUACUGGGCGUAAAGCGUGCGUAGGCGGCUUCUUAAGUCGGAUGUGAAAUCCCUGAGCUUAACUUAGGAAUUGCAUUCGAUACUGGGAAGCUAGAGUAUGGGAGAGGAUGGUAGAAUUCCAGGUGUAGCGGUGAAGUGCGUAGAGAUUUGGAGGAAUACCGAUGGCGAAGGCAGCCAUCUGGCCUAAUACUGACACUGAGGUACGAAAGCAUGGGGAGCAAACAGG
rnacentral:rRNA from 1 species